rnacentral:rRNA from 1 species
AUAAGGAGUCGGACCUGCCCGGUGAAAUAUUUUUAACGGCCGCGGUACUCUGACCGUGCAAAGGUAGCAUAAUCAUUUGCCCUAUAAUUGAGGGCUAGUAUGAAUGGUUUGACAAGAAUAAAGCUGUCUCUUUUCGAUUAUAUAUAAUUUUAUUUUUAGGUGAAGAAGCCUAAAUUAAAUUAAAAGACAAGAAGACCCUAUCGAGCUUUAAAUAAAUUAAUAGUUUCAUAAGUAUAUUUAUAGAACAAUAUCUAUUAAAAAUUUUGGUUGGGGCGACAAAGGAACAUAUAAAGCUUCUUUUAAAAUUAUAUAAACUAAGCAAGUACUGAGCCAAUAAAUUUUGAUUAUAGGAAUUAGUUACCGUAGGGAUAACAGCAUUAUCUUUUUUGAGAGCCCAUAUCGAAAAAAAGGUUUGUGACCUCGAUGUUGGACUAGAAUAUCCUAAAGAUGCAGAAAUCUUUAAGGGUUGGUCUGUUCGACCAUUAAAAUUCU